UACGGAGGGCGCAAGCGUUGUUCGGAAUUACUGGGCGUAAAGCGCGUGUAGGGGGCCUGGCAAGUCGGGUGUGAAAUCCCGGAGCUCAACUCCGGAACUGCAUCCGAUACUGCCAAGCUCGAGUCUCGGAGAGGAUGGCGGAAUUUCCGGUGUAGAGGUGAAAUUCGUAGAUAUCGGAAGGAACACCAGUGGCGAAGGCGGCCGUCUGGACGAUGACUGACACUGAGACGCGAAAGCGUGGGGAGCAAACAGG
rnacentral:rRNA from 1 species